UACAGAGGGUGCGAGCGUUAAUCGGAAUUACUGGGCGUAAAGCGCACGUAGGCGGCUUGUUAAGUCGGAUGUGAAAUCCCUCAGCUUAACUGAGGAAGUGCACUCGAAACUGGCAGUCUUGAGUAUGGAAGAGGGUCGCGGAAUUCCCGGUGUAGAGGUGAAAUUCGUAGAUAUCGGGAGGAACACCAGUGGCGAAGGCGGCGACCUGGGCCAAUACUGACGCUGAGGUGCGAAAGCGUGGGGAGCAAACAGG
rnacentral:rRNA from 1 species